rnacentral:rRNA from 1 species
GGAGGUCACACCCGUUCCCAUACCGAACACGGAAGUUAAGCUCUUCAGCGCCGAUGGUAGUCGGGGGUUUCCCCCUGUGAGAGUAGGACGCCGCCA